UUAAGUUAUUAAGGGCGCACGGUGGAUGCCUUGGCACUAGAAGCCGAUGAAGGACGUUACUAACGACGAUAUGCUUUGGGGAGCUGUAAGUAAGCUUUGAUCCAGAGAUUUCCGAAUGGGGAAACCCAGCAUGAGUUAUGUCAUGUUAUCGAUAUGUGAAUACAUAGCAUAUCAGAAGGCACACCCGGAGAACUGAAACAUCUUAGUACCCGGAGGAAGAGAAAGAAAAUUCGAUUCCCUUAGUAGCGGCGAGCGAAACGGGAAGAGCCCAAACCAACAAGCUUGCUUGUUGGGGUUGUAGGACACUCUGUACGGAGUUACAAAGGACGACAUUAGACGAAUCAUCUGGAAAGAUGAAUCAAAGAAGGUAAUAAUCCUGUAGUCGAAAAUGUUGUCUCUCUUGAGUGGAUCCUGAGUACGACGGAGCACGUGAAAUUCCGUCGGAAUCUGGGAGGACCAUCUCCUAAGGCUAAAUACUCUCUAGUGACCGAUAGUGAACCAGUACCGUGAGGGAAAGGUGAAAAGCACCCCGGAAGGGGAGUGAAAUAGAACCUGAAACCGUGUGCUUACAAGUAGUCAGAGCCCGUUAAUGGGUGAUGGCGUGCCUUUUGUAGAAUGAACCGGCGAGUUACGAUUUGAUGCAAGGUUAAGCAGUAAAUGUGGAGCCGUAGCGAAAGCGAGUCUGAAUAGGGCGUUUAGUAUUUGGUCGUAGACCCGAAACCAGGUGAUCUACCCUUGGUCAGGUUGAAGUUCAGGUAACACUGAAUGGAGGACCGAACCGACUUACGUUGAAAAGUGAGCGGAUGAACUGAGGGUAGCGGAGAAAUUCCAAUCGAACCUGGAGAUAGCUGGUUCUCUCCGAAAUAGCUUUAGGGCUAGCCUCAAGUGAUGAUUAUUGGAGGUAGAGCACUGUUUGGACGAGGGGCCCCUCUCGGGUUACCGAAUUCAGACAAACUCCGAAUGCCAAUUAAUUUAACUUGGGAGUCAGAACAUGGGUGAUAAGGUCCGUGUUCGAAAGGGAAACAGCCCAGACCACCAGCUAAGGUCCCAAAAUAUAUGUUAAGUGGAAAAGGAUGUGGCGUUGCCCAGACAACUAGGAUGUUGGCUUAGAAGCAGCCAUCAUUUAAAGAGUGCGUAAUAGCUCACUAGUCGAGUGACACUGCGCCGAAAAUGUACCGGGGCUAAACAUAUUACCGAAGCUGUGGAUUGUCCUUUGGACAAUGGUAGGAGAGCGUUCUAAGGGCGUUGAAGCAUGAUCGUAAGGACAUGUGGAGCGCUUAGAAGUGAGAAUGCCGGUGUGAGUAGCGAAAGACGGGUGAGAAUCCCGUCCACCGAUUGACUAAGGUUUCCAGAGGAAGGCUCGUCCGCUCUGGGUUAGUCGGGUCCUAAGCUGAGGCCGACAGGCGUAGGCGAUGGAUAACAGGUUGAUAUUCCUGUACCACCUAUAAUCGUUUUAAUCGAUGGGGGGACGCAGUAGGAUAGGCGAAGCGUGCGAUUGGAUUGCACGUCUAAGCAGUAAGGCUGAGUAUUAGGCAAAUCCGGUACUCGUUAAGGCUGAGCUGUGAUGGGGAGAAGACAUUGNGUCUUCGAGUCGUUGAUUUCACACUGCCGAGAAAAGCCUCUAGAUAGAAAAUAGGUGCCCGUACCGCAAACCGACACAGGUAGUCAAGAUGAGAAUUCUAAGGUGAGCGAGCGAACUCUCGUUAAGGAACUCGGCAAAAUGACCCCGUAACUUCGGGAGAAGGGGUGCUCUUUAGGGUUAACGCCCAGAAGAGCCGCAGUGAAUAGGCCCAAGCGACUGUUUAUCAAAAACACAGGUCUCUGCUAAACCGUAAGGUGAUGUAUAGGGGCUGACGCCUGCCCGGUGCUGGAAGGUUAAGAGGAGUGGUUAGCUUCUGCGAAGCUACGAAUCGAAGCCCCAGUAAACGGCGGCCGUAACUAUAACGGUCCUAAGGUAGCGAAAUUCCUUGUCGGGUAAGUUCCGACCCGCACGAAAGGCGUAACGAUUUGGGCACUGUCUCAACGAGAGACUCGGUGAAAUCAUAGUACCUGUGAAGAUGCAGGUUACCCGCGACAGGACGGAAAGACCCCGUGGAGCUUUACUGUAGCCUGAUAUUGAAAUUCGGCACAGCUUGUACAGGAUAGGUAGGAGCCUUUGAAACGUGAGCGCUAGCUUACGUGGAGGCGCUGGUGGGAUACUACCCUAGCUGUGUUGGCUUUCUAACCCGCACCACUUAUCGUGGUGGGAGACAGUGUCAGGCGGGCAGUUUGACUGGGGCGGUCGCCUCCUAAAAGGUAACGGAGGCGCUCAAAGGUUCCCUCAGAAUGGUUGGAAAUCAUUCAUAGAGUGUAAAGGCAUAAGGGAGCUUGACUGCGAGACCUACAAGUCGAGCAGGGUCGAAAGACGGACUUAGUGAUCCGGUGGUUCCGCAUGGAAGGGCCAUCGCUCAACGGAUAAAAGCUACCCCGGGGAUAACAGGCUUAUCUCCCCCAAGAGUUCACAUCGACGGGGAGGUUUGGCACCUCGAUGUCGGCUCAUCGCAUCCUGGGGCUGUAGUCGGUCCCAAGGGUUGGGCUGUUCGCCCAUUAAAGCGGUACGCGAGCUGGGUUCAGAACGUCGUGAGACAGUUCGGUCCCUAUCCGUCGUGGGCGUAGGAAAUUUGAGAGGAGCUGUCCUUAGUACGAGAGGACCGGGAUGGACAUACCUCUGGUGUACCAGUUGUCGUGCCAACGGCAUAGCUGGGUAGCUAUGUGUGGACGGGAUAAGUGCUGAAAGCAUCUAAGCAUGAAGCCCCCCUCAAGAUGAGAUUUCCCAACUUCGGUUAUAAGAUCCCUCAAAGAUGAUGAGGUUAAUAGGUUCGAGGUGGAAGCAUGGUGACAUGUGGAGCUGACGAAUACUAAUCGAUCGAAGACUUAAUCAA
rnacentral:rRNA from 1 species